rnacentral:rRNA from 1 species
GAAGAGAUUUGGAGUGCUCGCAAGAGAACCGGAACACAGGUGCUGCAUGGCUGUCGUCAGCUCGUGUCGUGAGAUGUUGGGUUAAGUCCCGCAACGAGCGCAACCCUUGUCAUUAGUUGCUACGAAAGGGCACUCUAAUGAGAUUGCCGGUGACAAACCGGAGGAAGGUGGGGAUGACGUCAAGUCCUCAUGGCCCUUAUGGGUAGGGCUUCACACGUCAUACAAUGGUCGGGACAGAGGGUUGCCAACCCGCGAGGGGGAGCUAAUCCCAUAAACCCGAUCGUAGUCCGGAUUGCAGUCUGCAACUCGACUGCAUGAAGUCGGAAUCGCUAGUAAUCGCGGAUCAGCAUGUCGCGGUGAAUACGUUCCCGGGUCUU